GUCAUCCAACAGAGGUAGCAAUAGCAGAAUU
rnacentral:piRNA from 1 species